GGAAUUACCGCCAUCUUGUUUAGCAUCAUACCCCACCACCGGGAAAAGCCGGUUCCAUUAAUAAAUGGAACAAGCAGCAAUUCUAAAGCAGUGUUCCCAACCCAUGGAUUUCCUACUCUGUGAUGGGAACCUCAAGCCGAGGAGACAGAAUCUGUAUUCACAUUGAGCUGAAACCUAUGAGCAUAUCCUCUUACACCAGCAUCCCUUCCUGCCUGAGCCUCGCCAGAGCCCAGAGAUAAAACUAGUGGGAAAGGAGGGCUUAAGAAAAUGAGACGCAGGAUAGGUAAACCAGGAUGGUGGGCACAAUCUGGGUCAUGGAAUGCCGCCCAGACCAGGUGAGCUGGUAUUUCAGCACAUCAGCUGCUCCUCCCACUGGAAUGGCAAAGAGAAGGGUAGAGGGCUGAAAACAACUGCAGGCCUCGGAAGAGUCGGGAAGAGUCUCAAAGGCUGGGAAAUUCUGUUCUAUUCUUCCCUCUGCAAAGAAGAAUGAGUUGGGUCUCAAGAAGGACGACAGGAGACACUCUUUCAUGCUCCUCGUCCACGUUCUCAUCCAAAGCCAGUGGCCAGCUCUAAAGCUGACUGCACAUUCUGAGAAACACUGAAAAGGAAACAGAACUUUUGAUUCAGAAAUUAAUCAAGGCUUGGAUAUAAAUUUGUCACAUAUUUAAAAAGUUUCAACUUUAUAAAGUUAAAUUUAAGACAUUUAAUGGAAAACAAGGCAUUGACUCACAAAAUACACGAAAUACGGUAGAAAGGUCAAAGGUAGAAAGAUAAACAGUACUUGAGGUAUGUGACUGCUAAGAAGUAUCAACCAAGGUCACUGGUUGGAAAGAGGAAUUAACAAAUUUAUUCAUUACCCUUUGGCUUCUACCUCUAUUCUCAAAUCUUCCUUAAACUAGUAAGUUAGAGCUUCUUGGUUAAAUAAACAAGUACUUGGGUCUGGAAUGGAAAGUGAAACAGAAGCAUACUUCAGUCUAAUUGUUCUUCCUGUUUGGAUAUUAGCUAGUAGACUAUGAGGUGUUUCUGUUUUUCCUUCUUUUGCUCUAAGGCUGCAGCAGUAUUUUUCAAGGUGGGGAGAUUGCUUCCUAAAAAACACUUGACAAUGUCUGCAGACAUAUUUGAUUAUUAAAACGGAAGUUGGGAAAGCCUGGCGUGGAGGCUCACACAUGUAAUCCCAGUCCUUUGGGAGGCUGAGGCAGAAGGACUGCUUGAGCCAGGAGUUCCGGACCAACCUGGGCGACAAAGUGAGACGCCAUCUCUACAUACAAACGAUCAAAAAAUUAGUUGACCUUACUUAAAAGAGAAAAGUUGACCUUACUUAAACUUAAAGAGAAAAAGAAAAUUUAAAAAGGUAAGU